UAAAUGUGGGCAAAUGGGGACGGCAGCACAGCUGAAGGUGAGCUAACUUACGAAACAGGCAAACAAAGCCGAACAGGAAGCACACCAGACUACCAAAAGUAAAACAGGAAACACUAUGGCGCAGACUAACUCACACAAGAGGUUGCUUUUGUGUGGAAAAGACUUUCAGGGUUAGGCAGAUAAUGGGAGGAGACAACGAGGCGAUGUGGAGACGAGACAGAGUGAGGAGAGAUUGAAGCAUUAGGAGAGACAUGAGAACAAACUGAAGGACAUAAACACAGAGACACAAGGGGAACCAAAGAAGAAUAUUAGAAACUCAAGUCAGACUAACCUAAAGACUGCUAAUGUAACUAAAAAAAAGUGGUUUAAAAAUAAAAAUGCGACUGAGCCGUACUCUAAUGUAUUUCUAUAUGUUAAAACCAAGUAACACUUACUGAUUUCUGUUUGUACACAGACAUGAUUUAAGUGAAAAGUGCAGACGUCAGGACCUUAUUAGUGUUUGACCCCAGCUGUUGGUCUCUCACAGAUACAGUGUAACAGACCUUUCUAUAAGAUAUCUGUAUUGUAGCUAAAGCACUUCUGGAUGGAUGCAAACUGUUGCCUUGUACCUGUGAUGUGUGCAAUGACAAUAAAGUUGAAUUCUAUUCUGUUGAGUUUCUGAUGGCACAAAGUUCUGCUCAUAUCACGGCUCCAUCUAGUGGACUGAUAGCAGAGCAGCUGAUGUUUGGACAGCACACAUGAUGGACAUCAGCUGAUGUGCACAUGAAUGAUUUGUGUUUCCUCUGCAGGUAGAAAGUGUGUGUGAGCUGAGCAGCAUGGAUCAGUGUGAGGACAGAGAGGAGGGAGUCCCUCCCUCUAAGAGAGCCAGAGAGAGCCAGACCAAAGCUCAGAGGAACCAGCCUGGACCUCCACCCAGCUCUGGGUCCUUAAGGAGUGACACGUCGAUUGGUCGCAUCAUUAAUUUUAAAGUCCAGCCUGUGUCUGCUGCAGAGAGGAUCAGUGGGAGACCUGCUGGACCUGGACCUGAACCUGAACCUGAACCUGGACCCAGCUGUGUGUCCUGUAAGAGUGACCGAUCUAAUGGUCGCAUCAUUAAUUUUAAAUCCCAGCCUGAGUCUGCUGCAGAGAGGCUCCAUAAGAGAUCUGCUGGACCUGGACCUGAACCUGAACCUGGACCCAGCUGUGUGUCCUGUAAGAGUGACAGGUCUAAUGGUCGCAUCAUUCAUUUUAAAGGCCAGCCUGUGUCUGCUGCAGAGAGAACUAAAAUCCCUGCUGUCAGGAGAUGUAUCCUAGGACACUUCUUCAGCUGAGAAUCAGAGAGAAACACACAGUUUUACUGCAGCAAGAGCAGCCACAGAGCGCUCGCACAGGAGUGAGGGCUCCUGUGAGUGAUAAGACGAUGUCAGAGGAAUUGGUGUGCAAUUAAUCGUCACUCACCAAUCAGUGCUGCUGCUCUCUACACACCGUUCGUGCAAUUGCAAAAUGAAAGUGAAAGCAAAAA